GAUGAAGAACGCAGCGAAAUGCGAUAAGUAAUGUGAAUUGCAGAAUUCAGUGAAUCAUCGAAUCUUUGAACGCACAUUGCGCCCCCUGGUAUUCCGGGGGGCAUGCCUGUCCGAGCGUCAUUACAACCCUCAAGCUCAGCUUGGUGUUGGGCCCCGCCGCCCCGGCGGGCCCUAAAGUCAGUGGCGGUGCCGUCCGGCUCCGAGCGUAGUAAUUCUUCUCGCUCUGGAGGUCCGGUCGUGUGCUCGCGAGCAACCCCCAAUUUUUUUCAGGUUGACCUCGGAUCAGGUAGGGAUACCCGCUGAACUUAAGCAUAUCAAUAAGCGGAGGA
rnacentral:misc_RNA from 1 species